rnacentral:rRNA from 1 species
AUGCAAGUCGAACGAUGAAGCACCAGCUUGCUGGUGUGGAUUAGUGGCGAACGGGUGAGUAACACGUGAGUAACCUGCCCCUCACUCUGGGAUAAGCCUGGGAAACUGGGUCUAAUACUGGAUACGACCGAUCUCCGCAUGGAGUGUUGGUGGAAAGUUUUUGUGGUGGGGGAUGGACUCGCGGCCUAUCAGCUUGUUGGUGGGGUAAUGGCCUACCAAGGCGACGACGGGUAGCCGGCCUGAGAGGGCGACCGGCCACACUGGGACUGAGACACGGCCCAGACUCCUACGGGAGGCAGCAGUGGGGAAUAUUGCACAAUGGGCGAAAGCCUGAUGCAGCGACGCCGCGUGAGGGAUGACGGCCUUCGGGUUGUAAACCUCUUUCACCAGGGACGAAGCUAACGUGACGGUACCUGGAGAAGAAGCACCGGCUAACUACGUGCCAGCAGCCGCGGUAAUACGUAGGGUGCGAGCGUUGUCCGGAAUUAUUGGGCGUAAAGAGCUUGUAGGCGGUUUGUCGCGUCUGCUGUGAAAGACCGGGGCUUAACUCCGGUUCUGCAGUGGGUACGGGCAGACUAGAGUGUGGUAGGGGAGACUGGAAUUCCUGGUGUAGCGGUGAAAUGCGCAGAUAUCAGGAGGAACACCGAUGGCGAAGGCAGGUCUCUGGGCCAUUACUGACGCUGAGAAGCGAAAGCAUGGGGAGCGAACAGGAUUAGAUACCCUGGUAGUCCAUGCCGUAAACGUUGGGCGCUAGGUGUGGGACUCAUUCCACGAGUUCCGUGCCGCAGCUAACGCAUUAAGCGCCCCGCCUGGGGAGUACGGCCGCAAGGCUAAAACUCAAAGGAAUUGACGGGGGCCCGCACAAGCGGCGGAGCAUGCGGAUUAAUUCGAUGCAACGCGAA